AUGAGAUUUGUACAUGAUAGAGAACCAGCUGUCUUUCCUGAUUUCACUGGAAGGAUUGAGUUUACUGGGAAAAGAUUCUCUGUGAAAUUAAAGAAUCUCCAGCUGGCAGACAGUGGAGUUUAUACUGCAGAAGUGGGACAUUAUGGAGGAGACCGCCCACUAGGAGACCGCACACUAGCUGAAUACAAGGUCACCGUUCAAGCUCCAGUGUCUCCAGUUAAGCUCUCCGUGGUCUCCGUGGUCUCCAGAAGCUCCGCCUCCUGUGACCUCACUGUGAACUGCAGCACACAGGACUCUCACAUCAGCAGCACUUUUACAUGCGUGGACGGAGCCUGCAGUCAGGAGGGAGGAGGAGGGCGAUCGGAGGUCACGACCUCUGGCGCUUCUCUCCAGGUCUACCUGUUGAAUAGCUCCAUCGUCUGUCACCAUAGCAACCAGGUUCACUGGACCAAGGACUUUAAAGGGACCCAACACGUUUGCUGCCAACAUGCUGGUAAGACUGAAGGACAAGACGACUUCCUCAUAAUAAAGCACAGUUUUGAGUUUGCUUAAGACUUGGAGCGUAUUAGCUUUUCUAGUUUU
rnacentral:lncRNA from 1 species